AGAUUGAUUUAAGGGGAGAGAAAUCAUAACAGGGGUUGGUGGAGCAGAAGAGGGCGAAGGAAGACUUGUGGGGAGCUGCGAGGAAUAGAUUUUGGGAUUUGUUUCCUUAUAGGAUAUCCUGCCGAUUUGAUCUAUUUUUGGCUAGAGCACAUGGGAUCAAACCAGAGGAUACCCAAACCAGUGGUAACGUUUUU